GAAAUCCCAUUUUGUUUGUACGCCGUUCUAGAUAAAUGGAAAGAGUGAAGGAGGUUGUUCUCUCCCUCGCAAUCUCAAUCCUCUCUCCUGUGAGGACGGACUAUGUCUUCUUUGUCUCUCACAUUCUUCACCGCUUUGUCAAGGGUUUCUUCCGUUCCGUUAUCGUCUUCUCUCAACCUCAACCUCAACGUCCCGCCUCCUUUUUCUCUAUCGUUUCAAUCCGGCCCGCGUAGGUUCGCUUCUUUCAAGCUCAAAGCAAUGUCUAAGAUGCUUCAGGAUGUCGAGUCCACUCAGAAGGCUAUCGUGGCUACCAGUUCUGCUCAAGACAAAGACAAGAAGUCUUCCUCCGGCGAGGUGAACCACUCGCGUACUUUUCUUGAUGUUCGUACUGAACAAGAACUCUUAUCUGGAAUUAACAAGGAAACUGAAGCAGGAAGGCUGUCUUCAAAUCUUGCAGCAUUGAUGGAAGAGUUGUAUCACAAUUAUAAAAAAACAGUCUUCAGCAGUGGAAAGCCUGGGGCUGAUGAGCUUGUAGUGUCAAACAUGGCUGUGACAUUUGAUCGUGUACUUUUAGAUAUGGAGGAGCCAUUUGAGUUUCAGCCAUAUCACAAAGCAUUGAGAGAGCCGUUUGACUAUUACAUGUUUGGUCAAAAUUAUAUUCGUCCUUUGAUUGAUUUCAGCAAUUCAUAUGUUGGCAACAUCUCCUUUUUCUAUGAAAUGGAACAGAAGCUUCAGCAGGGCCACAAUAUUGUAUUGAUCUCUAACCACCAAACUGAAGCAGACCCUGCUAUCAUUGCUUUGCUGCUCGAAUCAACAAACCCCUAUAUUUCAGAGAACCUGAUUUAUGUAGCAGGCGACAGAGUUUUAACUGAUCCUCUUUGCAAGCCCUUCAGCAUGGGAAGGAAUUUAAUAUGUGUAUACUCAAAGAAGCACAUGUUGGAUGCCCCUGAGCUUAUUGAGAUGAAAAGAAAAGCCAAUACACGAAGUUUGAAAGAGAUGGCGUUGCUUUUAAGGGGUGGGUCACAAAUAAUAUGGAUAGCUCCAAGUGGUGGUAGAGAUCGUCCUGAUCCUGUUACUGAAGAAUGGCAUCCAGCACCCUUUGAUGCUUCUUCAGUUGACAACAUGAGAAGGGUUGCAGAACAUUCUGGUACACCAGGACAUAUAUAUCCCUUAGCCCUAUUGUGCUAUGAUAUCAUGCCCCCUCCACGCCAGGUAGAAAAAGAAAUUGGAGAGAGAAGGGCGGUAUCCUUCCAUGGGGUUGGAUUAUCAGUGGCACCAGAAAUCAGCUUCUCUGAUAUUGCUUCUACUUUUGAAAAUCCUGAAGAGGCCAAAGAAGCUUAUACACAAGCACUGUAUAAUUCUGUGAACGAACAGUACAAUGUGCUGAAAUCUGCUAUACAUGGAAAACAAGGACUAAAGGCAUCAAUUACAAGUGUGUCUUUGUCACAGCCAUGGAAUUAGUCAAAACUUUUGGAUCUGUAUGUCCUGGCUUCGUUAAUGAUUUGGCUGCGGAUAAGUUAAUACUGGUGUACUGCAAGAGGAAAGCCUCAAUAGUCACUGAUGAUUUUUUUACUGGAGAUCACAUCUCGCAGAGUGUCUCAUUUAACCUGUCCUGAGUCCAUCAGAAUUGAAGCUGCUGCCCCAAAAAUGCAAUUUCAGCGACUAGUUGUAGGAUACGCUAUCAAGUACAUCCUCUGUCCGCUAUGUAUCAAGGAAAGCAAAUAGACUUUUCAUCUCAAGAUAGUGAGAAGACCUAUGUUCUAAAGUAAAUACACCAAUAUCUUCAAAGAAGAUUUUCUUAUUUUCCUCCUUGCAACAAGGGAAGACAUCUGUCAUUGCAAAUAUUUCUUUUUUAGUUCACAUAGAGUAGUGAUAUAUCCAUAGAACCAUAUUUGAAUUACGAAUUUCAAAUAUUGUUAUUUGAAUGUAACUUAUUAUAGGAGAAGGGAGACCAGAAUUUAUUUAGACUCACUAGUAGAUCACCUCGUUGCUUGUUCCUACACAUCAUUUUUUGUUAUACUAUGAGCUUAGGUUUUCUGAUCA